rnacentral:rRNA from 1 species
CGGCGGACGGGUGAGUAACACGUGGAUAACCUACCUAUGAGACUGGGAUAACUUCGGGAAACCGGAGCUAAUACCGGAUAAUAUAUUGAACCGCAUGGUUCAAUAGUGAAAGACGGUUUUGCUGUCACUUAUAGAUGGAUCCGCGCCGCAUUAGCUAGUUGGUAAGGUAACGGCUUACCAAGGCAACGAUGCGUAGCCGACCUGAGAGGGUGAUCGGCCACACUGGAACUGAGACACGGUCCAG